AAGUCCAACAUAGGCUAGCCGACGUACCUCGAAGGCCCGCUACUAGUAGGCCCAUUUAUCUGUUUAUUAUUAAUUUUUCCCCAGGAAAGGAGAAUAUUUAAAUUUAGUUACUCUGUGCACCGAUUUUAUUUUAUUUAUUUUUUAUAUUUUUAUUUCUUUAUUCUGUGUACCAUGGCACAGUACUUUGUGGUAAUGAAUCUCGGCGUGUGCUGAAUUCAGACCAAAAUCCAAGCGGAACUCCUCUCCUCUCUAAGAGGUUCCUCUUGUCGUCCAAAGGUCGGCAUCAUUUUCUUUUUAAAAUUAAUAUAUUUAUAUCCCAUUUUUUUAUUUUCUUUUUGCUCUCUCCCGUCCGGAUGAAAACCCUAGGCGUAGCUUCUGGAGAGUGCACGAAUUUAGGAAAUUUACAGAAUAAAAAUUGUAUCUAAUCUGGCUUCAGAAACGGCUCGAUUCUUGGAUCAUCUUUGAGAUCUUCUAUGGGUUAUAUUUGGACGCAGUAACCUGCGGUUGAGGAAAAGAAGCAGAUAUGGUUGUCUCAUUUGAUUUGCAGGAUUUCAUUAUUCGUGCUCGGGUUCUGAAGCUGUAUAGGCAAGCACUGAGGACUGCUCGUAGAGCACCUCCUCAUGCCCGAGCUGAGCUUAGACAGACAAUAAGACAGGAGAUCGAGAAUAACCGGAACUGCAAUGAUAGGCAGCGAGUUCGGUUUUUGAUUAGCGAAGGAUUACAGAGAUUGAAAGGUCUGAAUGAGAUGUUUGAUAUGCAGGGCCACUCUUAGUGUGAGAAACUGCAGUUGGCAUGUGUUACGAUGUCUCCUUCUUCUUAAGGGAUAUUGAUUUUGUUAGGGCCAAAGCUGCCCAUUUUGGUAUUUCUACAUAUUUUCAAUUAACUUGCGCCUGUAAUCCAUAAUGAGCUGAACUGGUUCGAUUUAAAUUUCUAACAAAGAACUUGCUCUGCGUUGUUUAUGUUGCCUAUCCAGUAACCUGCUUGUUUGUUGAAAUACAUAGUACAGUUUCAAUUCAUGCUUUUAACUAAUUAUUGAUUUUUUUGCUCUGUGUAUUAGCUUUUUGAGAACGUGGCAAUAGAAUUGGCGGGUGAGAAUGAUGGACAAGAUGGAUUAAUCAUCAUGUAAAGGUGGAAGAGAAAGAAGAAAAAGAAGGGAAUAAGCAGAUCUGAGGUAAAAAACGAGCGGGCUAAAUUGAAAUUUUCCAAGGGAUUGAGGGAUUGGACGUAUUUGGAGGCUUAAAAUGGUUCCUACAGAGUCUCCGAGAUUAGUUCCAUUAAAACAAUUGAUGCCACUUUACCCAUGGAAGACUGCAGCCCCACCGUUCCCUGAAAACCAACACGAACAAUAUAUGAAGGUUAAAGAUGGAGACAGGGUAUUUUGGGCACCCAAAAGAAUGCUAAAUCAUGGAGCCAAUGACUCAGAUAUGGAGAUCCCGUACGAAGGAGUUUUCGAAUUUAUCGACAAGUGUAUUGUCAAGAAUGUUAAGCGAUGGAUUGAUAGGCUAGUUGGUGAAAUAUUUGGCUUACCAAAGUAUGAUCCUUGCAAAAAUAGAUUUAGGAGAUAAUAGUUAUUAUGAAAAUUCCUUCCUUCAUACCAUAUGAUGUAAAUUUUUACAUUUUUACCAAAAAAUGUAAAGUUCAGUGUUAAUUUUGCAUUUUGAUUUUUCAUGUAAAUAUAUAUAUAUAUUUUUUUGGACUCUUGUUCAUGAGCAACAUAAUAUACGAAAGGUGAUUUUUGAAA